GACUCAGAACGGCGUCAACUCGUAAAGUCUACAUCCGUCGGAGAGCUUCUAGCUUUGGGUCACACCGAUUCAGACGGCGAUGAGCAUUUCCAUCUCCAGCAAGCUUUGGAGUUAUGUCGUCUCCUACUUUCAGUUGGCCAUCCAGUAUCUAUUACAGAUCUUUCUUCACGCUGUACACACUUCCAAGUCGAAUUUCCUUGCACGAUCCCUAAUUCUCCUAUUUUCCGAUGGAUUCACCGUGAUUCUCUCGUGAGAGUUUCGCCGGUAGUUUGGGUGUGCCGGAAAAUGAUCUGAGUGAACAGAACAAAAUGGUUUCAGGCAUAGGAGAGGCCCGUAAUGGAUAGCAGAGCUAAAGACAUUACAACUAUUUCCAAUGGGAAAUACAGGCCUUUGGCUUUGAACCAUAGUCCUCAGUCUGGUCCACAUACUCAGUUUUUUUGGUUGCGAGAAUUUUCCUAGUGGAUUUUGAUCCUGUGCAUCGCUUGGAGGGAAGCAAGCAUUCUCCUCAAGAGGCUGGAUAUUAUGAGCAACUUGAGAUUGGAGAUUUUCAAAUUGCUGAUCAGUGGAAGAUGACGAGGAUAAGAACAGGAAGGAUCUGUUUCCUUAGGAGGAGAUACAAAUUCCCUGUGUGCAGUCCGCCUUUGAUGCAAAUCAAUGUACAUUGUGGAGGACUCUGAAGAUUUAACUGUCUCCAGUUGUAGUCCAUUAAAGAAAGAGGACCACGCCCUAGACAUCUUCAGGACUCCUGUUUGUGAGCUGCCUUCUGCUGCAACAGUGAAUGAAGAGAGAUCUUUGAUGCAGAAAACUGCAAAUCCUCAGGAAACAGCAAAGGGCACAUAUCUUCCUCUGAGAAAAAGGAGAUUCGGACUGCAUCAUCCUUUUUUUUUCUUUUUUUUCUUGACAAAAAAAGAUUGCAUCAUCCUUGAACAUGGCAUACCUGAUUUAUUGAAAAGAGAAAUAGAUGUGCAUCAGCUACAGUUGUACGGCUACUGCAUGUUCAAAGCUCUGGCAAGUCUUCAUAAGCAGGGUGUGGUUCACAGGGAUGUUAAGACUGGCAAAUUCCUUUUUCUCUAGGAAGACCAACAAAGGCUACCUCGUUGAUUUUAACCUCGCCUUGGUUGGAUUUGCAUCAGAGGUACCGGAAAGCUGAUAAAUUUCUCAUCUUAUGCAUUUUGGGCUGUUCUUAGGCAAAAGUUUGGAAACUAAAGCUAUCUCGUAAUUUUCC